UCAAGGCCAUGUGCUAAUAUCAACGGUGCGGCAGUGCCAGUGAAAGUCAGGCAGUAUGCCGGAGCAACAGAGUCUUGAUUUUUAGAGGCAGGUUUUAAAGAAAGAAAUCAGUGUUGUAAAGAAAGAAAAAGAUUUUCCACUCAAAGAAUUAUGGAUGACACAGAGUACUUCCUAUUGAUGACAUCAUAACCAACUUUGAAAAGGUUUUGUUUGAAAGAAAAGGAUCUGAAGAAGGAGAAAGAUCUGUUUAGAUUCAGAUGGAUUAAUAGACUGUUAGACCUUUUGUCAUCACUUGAUUCUGUACUAUUAGUUCCGUAACACUGAGCCUAUAAGCUUUUGACUUGGUGGUUUAUCUAAUUUGAGAGAGCAGAGUCCAUGAUAUCAGUCUUUAAGCAUUUCAAGAUUAGCAAUACAGAAUAUGUACAGAUGUAAUAGCAGAUAAAAAUCCCACACAAACAGGACACUGAUAUAAAGUUAAUGGAAUUUAGAGAUAUUUCAUUUCUCUCUUGUGUGGAUU